UAAUCACUUACUCAAAGAAGACAGGGGACAAGGAACCUAGACAGAAGGAACGGUGUAUUCAAAGGCAUGCAUAUAAAUUACUAACAGGAGAGUUGGAAAAUGGAACUCAAGCAAUGUGAAUGAAUGGGUUGUGAAGUACAGUUGAUUCUCACGAUUCAAGGUAGUUAUAUUCUAUGAAAUCACCUGCAACACUGAGCAAUUAGCAAAUACUGAAUACUGCUUCUAAGGAAAAAAGAAGGUCAAUCCUGCUCUAAUUCCUGCCAGCCCAGUCUUGUUGCAGGCUGGCCAACGUCUUUUCUCAGCAAGAUGGCCAGAGAGAAGAGAGAGAAAUCACAGGGUCAGGGAAACCCUAAGUAUUUCUGUUGCUAUAUAAUUCCUCAUAUGAGCAAGAUGUUAAUCAUCUCUAACUAACUGAUUAAAGGCUAUGAAGUUUUAACUUACAAAUAACUUGAUAUUCCCAAAUUAUCUAACACAAAUGUUUUUUCCAGGGAGUACCCAAGCAACAUGCAUUCCAGGAGCCCUCAACCAGGGCCACUUGGACUUGUGUUCCAAUUUUCUCUAAAGCUUCAAUUUCUAGGUAAUCGAUUAAUCUUUUUAACUACCACGAGGAGCUUUGCGCAAAAGGCAGUUUUUUAGCUGGGCGUGGUGGCUCACACCUGUGAUCCCAUCAAUUUUAGAGGCUGAGGCGGGGGGAUGAUUUGAGCCCAGGAUUUUGAGACCAGCCUGAGAAAAACAGUGAGACUGUCUCUCUCAAAAAAAGAAAACAAAUUAUUUGGGCAUAGUGGCACAUGCCUGUAGUCCCAGCUACUUGGGAAGCUGAGGUGGGAGGGUCAUUUGAGCCUGGGAGGUUGAGGCUACAAUAAGCAGUGAUCACACCACUGCAUUCCAGCCUGGAUGACAGAGUGAAACUCUGUCUCAAAAAACCAAAAAGC
rnacentral:lncRNA from 1 species